GCCUUCGUAUUGUAGUGGUCAGCACGCUCGACGUGUAACCGAGAGGUCCGUGGUUCGACUCCCGGUGAAGGCA
rnacentral:tRNA from 1 species